GCUACAGCUGCAAGUAUUCCACCUAUUCGUUUCAGCUUCUAUCCAGUAAUGAGAUCAUUCACUUUGAACUACUACAGGUAACGGAAGCUAGCAGUUCAGUUGCCAUGGAGUCCCAAGGCUGUAGGAGGGGCCUCAACCAUCUAAUUUUCAAUGAAGGAGUAGAUAUAGACCUCAUCACUACAGACCGGGCCACAUCAGUUCGGAAAAUAAUGAGGGAGGAAUUCCAGAAUGUUCACCAUGAAUUUGAUCCUUGGCAUGAAUCAAACGGCAUAAAGAAAAAACUGGUAGCACUCGCCAACAAAAAGGAAAAUCGGGUCCUGCAGGGCUGGAUUCGGGCGAUCCUCAAUCACUUUUGGUUCUCAUGCUCAUCUUGUGGCGAGAGUGCUGAGGAACUGAAGUGA
rnacentral:lncRNA from 1 species